UGUGGGCAGAAAAUCAUUGGAGCAAGUUAGAGUAAAAUGAGCUGAAGAGAUUGGAAAAUACUAAAAGGGCUUUGUGUAAGAAUAUUGUUCCUCCUUGGACUUCCUCCAAACAAAAGCUUGAAAUUAUAAAUUCAUUUCCAUCAAGAAGACUAUUCAUCUCCACAGCAACCUAACAUGCCCCAAGGAGAAGAUUACUACCCCCAUACUGACUUGCAGUCCUCGCUCUCCAGCAGGCUCCGGUACGUGUUGAUCUCACACUCCAGCCGCGCCCGCACGUCCAGCAGCACCUGAUACUCCUGCCGCGCCCGCACGUCCAGCAGCACCUGAUACUCCUGGUUCUGCCGCUCCAGGAGGCUCCGGUACGUGUUGAUCUCACACUCCAGCCGGGCACGCACGUCCAGCAGCACCUGGUACUCCUGGUUCUGCCGCUCCAGCCGGGCACGCACAUCCAGCAGCACCUGGUACUCCUGGUUCUGCCGCUCCAGGUCACUGCGGAUCUCCGCCAGCUGGGACUCCACGUUGGUGAUCAGGCUCUGCACCUGGGACAGCUGGGAGCUGUAGCGGGCCUCACUCUCUGUCAGCGUGUUUUCCAGAGAGUCUCGCUGUGGUGGAGAAGAUUGGGAAUGUCAGAGAGCUGCUCCUUCAAAGGGUUUCUUCACAGGAUUACAAGGAAGUCACAAGCUCCAAGAGCUAAGGAGAGUGUGUGGCCCCAAGCACAUCCCCGGGACUCUGCCUCCCAAGUUCCCGUCGCUCACCAGCAGGUCUGAACAAUACAC
rnacentral:lncRNA from 1 species